rnacentral:tRNA from 1 species
CCCCUCGUUUCUCAGAUGGUAAAGAGUCUGCCUGCAAUGCAGGAGACCAGGGUUCAGUCCCUGGGUGGGGG